rnacentral:lncRNA from 1 species
AGAGAACAACAUAAAGAAGAAAAAUCAUAAAACUCUUGAACAUUUUCCAGAAAACCCUAAGUCAGCGAAGAAGGGUUUUUUUAAAAUAAGUUUCAAAAACAGAUUUAAGGAGAUCAUUUGAAAACUCAUUCAUAGCAUCAAUUCACAACGAUCUAAAAAGAAUCAAAGCAAAACCUCGAAUAGCUAGAUUUUCAGAGGAACCCUAAGGUUAGAAAGUCAUUAGAAUAGGUCUGAUCUAAGUCGGAUAAGGUUGUAAUCAGGCUCAGGAGGCUAGGAUAUACCGGAGAAAAGUCUGGAGAUGGACGAAAACCUUGAGCCGAUGAAGGUUUGGUCUCGAGCCUUCAAGCAUCAUGCACACAAGAGUAAUAGGAGGUGAGUAUAUGUCAUUUAUGGCCUGAGAAGCCAUGGAUUCUAGUGUGGUUGUGGCCGGAGAGGUGGUGGAGAUAAUCAGAGAAGAGAGAACCAGAAGGUUCUAGAGAGAAAGGAGAGGGGGAUACAAUAUAGAGAGAGAG